AAAUUUAUCAUCCAGAGAAGGAUGAGAAGCUUCGACUGAAGGUUCGAGUCGAACAAAGUGAGACAACGCGCUUUAGCGCGGCCCGAAGGGUGAGACGCAACGCGUCGAAUCAUCCUUCUCCCACCACCA
rnacentral:sRNA from 1 species